AGGAAAUGGCCUCAAGUAGUGCAGGGUUGCUCAGAGCGCUAAUUGCAGCACAUGGCUAAGGGCGAGUGUACCUCCAGGCCAGAUGGAAUUGAACUGGAAGUGAACAUUGCUGGUCUCGGAAAUGGGCUUAUGCUGGGGCCAGAACUGACUGGGAAUACUUCCCUGGAACUUCUGCUGCCUCAGCAAAAUAUCUACCAAGAAAUUAUGGAAUCG
rnacentral:lncRNA from 1 species